UGAGGGCUGCGCCCGCGGAAUCCUCUCGGCCCUCAGGGUCCCCUCAGCCCGGCGUCUCCAAGGUUUUCCUGACGGUCGCAUGUCUUCUUCCUUGUGAAGCAGUGGUGGGUUUAGAUGCAUUUUCACAGGCACAGUAGUUGGCUUCACAGGUGGACAGUGCAGUUAAAUACUUUGAUGGCUGCGUCCUCUUUAUCUCAGUACAUCUUUUGGGGGUUGGCGACCCCCCCUCCAGCCCAUGCACACUGUGCCCUUAUUCCCGUGUGGGUGUUCCUGGACUUCUUGCUAGACCAAUGUCCCAUGAGUUACAUGUGCUUCCCUGGCCUGUGACUGCAAAUUAGGGGCUUGCCAUAUUAUACCAACUGUUUGUCUGUGAGGUAGGGGAAGCCCCUCCAUGAUACUCAUGAGUGAACAUAUGCUCAAACUCAAAUGUGACUAAUUCUUCAUAACAAGAAAAACUUUGCAUUUCCUGGUGAACAGGAUAAGCAGAGUGUUUAAAUGUACUUGUUUCAAAGAACUCUGCUUAAUCUUCUGAAUAAAUCGUUUCAGAGAAAAACAGCAGUAACAAUCUAUUCAUUUUUGUAUUAAAAUAGCAAGAACGUAUUUUAAACUAACUAUUUUUUCUGUCCCAGGAAAUGGCCUGCCUACCUCCUUUUUUAAAUACUAUUUUUAUUCUCUUGGUGGCCUGGAUUCAGGAUGGAGUUAAUAUUUUUCUCCAUGACGCAGUAGGCAGAACAUGCUGAAACUUUAUGAACCCAGAAGCAUAUUCUCUGUGAUAAACAAAAACAAACUAAAAAAAAACUUAUUUCAAGAACUCUGCAACUCAUAUGGCUUCUACCAUCUGGCACACAGUCCUGGCACACUGUAAAUCCUUGCAAGUGGUAUCUCCUUUACAGACCCUAAUACAUAAAACCCAUAUGCCAGUGGCUUGCAGAGGCCACCCCCUCAAGUUGCAGUCAUCAUAUUGUAGCAGUGUGAGAUCUUCUAUGAAGCCAAAGCUUUUAUGGUAUUUCAGAAGGUAAAAAAAAGAAUCCAUUGCCUCCAAACUGUAACAGUAUGGACACUGACAGUGAGGCAACUUUCCGUCAUGAUGCCUUUCUUUGGAAAUGUCACCAACCACACUCAACACAGAGAGCUGCGAGUUAAGCAAAGGCUAAUCCAGAGAGGGGGAUUGAAUGUUGAGUGCUCUAAAGAUAAUUCCAGGGUUAUCUCUGGAAAAAAUUAAAACAACUCGCAUUGAAACAUUUAGUAAUACAAGAUACCAAGGUUACAUUUGAUGAAUACCAACCCUAAUGACAAAUAUACUCUGUGUAAAUCUGAGCUCCAUGACUUUUGGCAAGGAUAUUUGCCAGCAGCUCAAAAGUCCUGGCACAGAAUAUCCACAUGCCCAUAAAUUUCUGCAGGCACAAAUACAUCUGUUAAAUCAUUCCUUCAUGCUUCCCUUCAAUAUAUAAAGUCCUAAAUGUUGAGCACUUCAUCACCAAGCUGUCAUAGGCCAUCCCUGACCUCCCCAGCACAAAAGGACUGGAGGCCUGAGGGAGCUCAGAGUGGUUUCCCUGGAGCAAUACGUCUUCAUCCACAGGAACUGAAAGGACACGGAAAAGCAGAAGGCCCUUAAAAGUGAGGAAACCAAAGCCAGUUCAUGUCAUACUUUUUAGACAUCUUGUUGAAGAUCGGUUUCGUGAUGAAUGUAAGCUGACCUAAAAACUGCCUGAUGCUGAGAUGCAUGGUCCAGCUUUCACCACAUUUCUGCUGCUUCUUUUCUACUACCAAGGUGUAGAAAAAGUAGUAAAGUGACUUUACCUGAGAAGCUAAUAUUAAGUUCAGCAAAGUAUUUUCAUUUUAGACCAUAUGCUAAGGACUUGACUAUGCCUUUAAAAAAAGUACAGCUGUUGAUGUUGUGUGGGACUACCAACAAAAACUGGACCAGAUGUUUUAUCUACUGGAGUAAAUGCUAAUACUCACCCAUAAGGGGAGCAGGCGCCAAGAACUUCUGAAACAGGUGCUGCAAAACACAUAGCUAUAUUUGGAAGAGAUUUUUGGAUACCACCUACAUGGCAAAGCAUGAGUUCACAUUUAUGAUGAAAAAUAAUAAGAGAAAGAAAAAGAGAAAAAAGAGAGAAGAGAAAGAGAAGAGAAGAGAAGAGAAGAGAAGAGAAGAGAAGAGAAGAGAAGAGAAGAGAAGAGAAGAGAAGAGAAGAGAAGAGAAGAGAAGAGAAGAGAAGAGAAGAGAAGAGAAGAGAAGAGAAGAGAUAAAUCAAUUGAAGCCAGGAUGCUAAGACCAAGGCUGAAUAUUCAGAGGUGAGAAGUGUCUUGCAGAUAUGAAGGCAGCUUACAGAUACUUUCCCUAAAUGUCCAAAUUUCAUUGCUUUACCCAUGCAUAAGUGCCUGUACCUCAGAGAAAUUUUGUUUGUAUUUAGUAAGGCUUUCCUUAGGCCUUAGGAAUUCCUUAGUGGAAUUCCAGCUAAAGAUGGAUUUGGAGGUGCUGUCUCCAAAGGUCUCAGUACCUGACAGAUGAGAUUAGGGACCAGUGGUACCCCAAAGUGUGAAGGUAGCUGUACUACCCAAACAGGAAAAAUUUCCAGGUACCAACUUCCAUAUUCUAUGUCACAUCUUGCUCAAAUAAUGCAAAUGUCCAUCCCUCCUCUUCCAUCACUGCCAGUCCCUUCCUUCACCAGCACUGGCUCUAAUUGCAUUUAAAGCAACACAGAAGUUAAACAAACAUACAAUUCUGACAGAAAAUCACCGUUCCAGAAGUACAGCAUUAAUUAGUGGCCUAUAGAAAUUACCUUUUUCUUAUAUUAGGUUGAGAUUAUAUUUAUUUGUAAUUGCCAAUUUUUCAGUUUUUGUAUUUGGAAUAUUUUAAUAGUACAGUUUUAACCCUCAUAUAUCCUGAAGGAAAACCUAUAAAUAUAUGUAGAUGUAGAAGCAGCCCUUUGACUAAUAUUAACAUUGGCCACUUCAAUGUUAUUUUUAAAAGAUACAGGUGAUUUUGUUGCUGUUCUAAUAGUAAUAAAGAGAAGAAGUGUUCUGCAUACAUCAUAGCAGUGAAAUAAACAGUAAAAUACAUCUAAAUGGAGUCCUAGGACUACCAAAGAAUCAGUUCUCUGCCCCUCUUCACCAAACAUAUUGACAGUUUCUGAUUUCCCUUAGGUAUUAUCCAGCAGUAAAAGUCAGCAAUAACCUGUCCCACUUGACAGAAACUGCCAGCACAUGGUAGAACUUGAGCUUUCAUCUCACUCAUCUGAAAUACAUGUCACAGUAGGUGAUAGGCAUUGUCUGCAUUGUCCCCAAAUUGUUGAAAGAGCUUAUUUUAUAGCCCUAGUGCACCUUGGUAUUGAUUCCAAUGAAUGAAAGCUGUGAACAAUAAAACAGGAAAGUAACUGAGAAAACAGGCAAAAUUAAAAUAGUAUUUUGGAAUGAAUGGGGAGUUUUGCAAAAGACAGAGCACCUGAUUGCUCUGAUUUGAACUCCAAACAGUAAUUUCAGAUAGUAUGGCUGCAAUGUGAUCUAAUAUUUCCAUAUUGAAUAGUGAACACUAUUCCUCAAUUAUUUUUUUUCCCAGCAGAAGGUUUAAAUAGAAAGACACACUUUGGCAUUUAAAGCAAUAUAAUCUAAAGGACAACUGUCAGGUUUAACCUUUUACAUGUCACGACUGUGAAAUGAUUGAGACUAUUGAUAGACAAAUGUAUAACAGGGAAAAACAACUAAAAAAAUUAACCUGUAAUACCUUAUAAUACAAGAAACAUAAAUAACUAAUGACUUGUUCACAUCUGAGAAUUUCAAAUGUCCUGAUAAUAUAUGCUGACAUUUCCUGGGUAAGUAGUCUUGUUUCCUAUUUAUUCUACAUAUGCUAUCAAUAUUGUCAUGGUUACAGUCCAGCUAAAUUAUUAAUACAUAUGUACAAAAAUUCUGAGAGCAGUUAGAUUUAGAAUCAAAGUAAGCAUUCCAGAUUUGUACAUUCCUUCUUUGUCUACCAAAAAAAUAAAAGAGAAAUCAGAAUCAUAGUUGAAUAAAGUUACAUGUAAUUCACAUAAGUAAUUAUUAGGUAGAACUUUAUUAAGUUAAUUAGAGCAUUUUUACCAGCUUCACUAGGUGUUCUGUCUUUUAGUUAUGUGCAUCCAGUUCUUGUUAGAACAUUAGUCUCAAUGAGUUUUAGGAGUGAGACAAAUUAAGAUUUUUCUACUAAAAAUGUGUUCAUCAGUUAUAGUUAAACCAAACUUUGUUUGUCACUCUUAGGUUUUAAAUCUCACUUACUAAAAAUUGCAUUUUAGUAGUAAAAAGACAAAGCAUUGAAUAUAAACUAAGAUGUCUGUCUGAAUUAUUCAGGGUGAACUGGAAAAAUUAAUUGAUACAUAGAGAAUAAUGAAUGUCCAAGGAGUAUUCCUUUUGAUAAUUUUCACUUUUCUUUGCCUAUUUUGUAAAUUAAAAAAAAAAAAUAAAUUUCUCAUAACAAAUGUAAAAUAUCAAAGGUAUUAUGGAAUAAUUUGUAAUAUAAAUACCCAGGUGGAAUUGAAAUACUGCAUACUGCAUGAUUACAGUUUUUCAACCUUCAACUAAAGAAUUAAAAAUAUCUUUUUCAAUAUUAAAAGUUGAGUCUCAGAAUUGUUAUACUGAGAACAAAUACGCACAGAACUUUAAGAAUUAGAAGAAUCCAUUUGUAUAGUUUAUUUGUGUUCAUUCCAGAAGGUUCUCUGUAAAACAUAUUAUCUAAACCCAAUUACAUCGCUUAAGCUGAAUCAACGACCACGCUUGCUUGUAUAAGUGAAAACAAACAAAAAAAAAAACCCAAACCAAAACAAAGCAAAUAACCAAAAACCCCACCAAAGUCUCUCUGUAAUCUGAGAGAUAAGAAAAUGUUAUUUAAAAAAUAAUGUGUUGGCAUCUUGAUCUGCUGAAAGUAAUAUUGGAUGACCAAGGAAAGGCAGGUGAUUCAAGAUGUUUUUGCCCUGCCUUGAUGCUGGAUAUAAACACAGAAUUGUGUAGAGAGGACAUGGACUUUUUACAUCCCACUGCCAGAUGGUCUGAGUCUCUUUCAUGUAAGUCAAGGAUUGCUGUCCUCUUCCUGAUUGCCUGCUCAAGUUCUUGAGACAGCAUCAAUGGUUUUAGUCUCAUAAAAUCUACUACAAAUACUGAUAUGUCAACAGGACUGGAACACCAGUAGAUCUGACCACAAGAUCCAGCUGAAGGCUGAGAAAACAUUUCCAAAGUGCACAUCAGUGCAGUGACAGUGCUACACUUCCCAAGAGGGACUGUAGCUGAGACAGAGAGUGAAAAAGCUGUAUGAGCCUGUACAAUAGUCACAAGUGUGAUCUGCUUGCUGCUUGCAAAUCUAGUAAUGAAAAAUCACCCAUAGAAGCAAACCAACAGGGCAGUAAAGAAUACCUUUUUACUCCUACUCUGCAUGUUAAGAGUUAAGGAGACACAGCAAAUCUUUUUCCUUACUACUAACUACAAAAACUCUAACAGCUUCACUGCCCUAAGGUAACAGGAGCCCUGUAGCAAUGUUUCUGGUAGAAUUCAAAGAUGAGCUUGUGAGAGUUGAUUACCUCUUUUUUCCAAACUUCUAACCUAAACUCUUUGUAUCUUCUUUCCUGAAUAAAAAAAAGGAUUUUUUUAAUAAUAAAAAAGUGAAGAGAGAGAGGAAAAAAACCCUGACAGGCAGUCAAGAGAAUACAUUAAUUAUAUUAAACCUUACAAAAUCUUCAUAACUAAACUCACUACCAUGAGUUAAUGCACACUAAUAUCUACCUAGAUGCUCUAGAACCUAGUUACUGUUGGGGGCAGGUUAUAAAAGACUGUAAUCAGCUGUGGCAGCUAGACCAACUAACUAGAAAAGGAGAUGGGAAUGAUUGCUUUAAUGUAAUCCCAAAAAUAAGGCAUUUCCUAGAAAGGGGGUCUGCUUGAGCUCAAAAGCAAUGAUGACCUGAACAUUGAGAGAAGAACCCUUCUGAUUUAAAAAGGAUGGCAUUGACAAGGCAGUUGACAUUAACCCCAUAUAUACUAAGAGGGAAGGACUGUGAGAAUUAUACUGACAAUAUCUUGUGGUUAUAUUUUUUAUCAUUAGGAAGUGAUAGAAUUUGAAAUAUCUAGGAAACUGCUAAUAUAUUGCAAGUUCCUACCAAUGCUAGUAUGCUAUUCCCCAUAACUACAUCCAACCCAUCUAUCCCCCUGGUCUGAGAAAAUUUUUCUUGCUCUCUAUGAGUCUGAACUAAUUAAUCCAUCCUCCUUCCUGUCUUUCUUAUUGCUGAGACUUCUCUUCUCCUCAGGGCCUGCUUCUUCUCACCAUCAUUUUUCAUGUGAAAUGGUAAUUUGUGAGGCAGAAAUGUUUUGAGAAGUAGGAAAUGCUGUGUUCUCUUCCUGACUGCAUCACUGCCUCUGAUACCAGCAAGUCAUCUCAGCUUCCUGCUUGUUUCCUUUAACUCACAUCCAAGUCUCUAAAGUUAAGACUCCAAGGCUGCACCUGAACAGAUACGUGCUGUUCAAAGCACUGGGUGUACAGCUACGUUCAUUUGCUUCUUGCAGCCAAGCCUGACCAGGAAAUCUACUAAACAUGUCUUCCUGCAGACUGAAAGAAAAGGUGUAGGAACUUGCAUGAUGUUGAGUAUCUCCUAAUGUCAGUGCAUUAACAUUUGUUGAAGCCUACAACAAAAUCCAGACUUGCAACAUCUGUCAGGGUACUUAGCAGUUUACAAUAUGUAAAUCACCAUAUUUCUAAUUAUGUACAGGAAAAAAAACCUCCAGGGAUUAGCAAAUAGAUAUUGCUAAUAUACUGCAAUCAGCCAUGGAAGGCCAAUUCAUAUCAUGGCAUGAAUAAGAAAAUAUUAACAGAAAAAAAUCCCAGUUAUGAAAAAGUGAGGCCUAAAUAUCCUUGGAAAGAAACCCACUUAUCUGUGGGGGUUUGCCCUAAGAUGUUACAAAAACUAACACAGAAUAAACAAUUGUUAUGAAUGCUGACCUAUACUAUCUUGUUCUUUCACUGUAAGCAUACCCCAGUAACUUUAGACAUAUGGACUUUGCAAAUGGUAUCAAAGCUGUACGUGGAUGGAAAUCCAAGAUAUUAAAAAGCUAAGCCGAUAGGCUGUCUGCUAACUAUCCAUCAAGAGAAAUAAAGAAGCUCAGACAAUUUAUAGAAAUACACAUUUACUCAGGGAAAAUAUCUCUGUUUUACUAUCAUAAGCAACAUUAUCUUCCGAGGAUUAAUGGAUGAACUAGCAAAAUCUCAUUCCCUCAACGUACUGGUAGAUACCAGAAGACAAACUUCUUGAUCUGGCAUACAUGAAGUUGCUGUAAUCAGAACAGCUUUUCACAUUGUCCUAAACAUUUUUGCUAACCCACAUCAUCAUCCACAGAAACUGAGAAGGUGAUUAUAGACAAGAAGGGAAUUGAGUCAGUAGGGAUAGAUGGCUUUUAUGGCCAGUUAUAUUUAUCAGAAUUAAAGUCUAGAAAGAGCUAGAAAAAAUACUGGAAAUUUGGUGUGAUUUCUUGGAAUAAAAGCUUCUAUGCAGCACCAAAGUAGGUUAAUUUGAUAAGUAGAUAAUAGGGCAGGUUGAGAUUGUUGUAACAACCUCUGGCAUUUGUGAAUUCCAGCCAGAAUACACAAUGGUGCAAAAGUUAUAGAAACAUUGUCAGGAAAUUCACAGGGAGUUAUACAGCCCUCUUGCCAUAAAGCUGGAUCAGCUAUAAUUGCCUCUCAAUCAACUGCUGAUUGCUUGUCUGGGUUAUGGACUGCUCAUAUUGUAAGUCCAGAGACUCCUGAAAGGCUCUGCAUGAGCCAGCUCAUAUCCAUGAGAAUGAGAGUUGUGUUGGCAGGACACCGACAUGCUGGUGUGCUCCACACCUGCCAGGUCCUCCCACCUCUGCAGUCACCACUGUCACCAGAUCCCUCUUUUCCCCAUUUCCUUCCCAGGGAAUGAUCCCAUAGACCAUCUUGCAUUCAUCCUAUACUUCCUGGAGUUUGAGGUAGGGUUGGGUUUCAGGUGUUUUAUUUCUUUCCC